GACGAACGCUGGCGGCGUGCUUAACACAUGCAAGUCGAACGGAAAGGCCCUGCUUUUGUGGGGUGCUCGAGUGGCGAACGGGUGAGUAACACGUGAGUAACCUGCCCUUGACUUUGGGAUAACUUCAGGAAACUGGGGCUAAUACCGGAUAGGAGCUCCUGCUGCAUGGUGGGGGUUGGAAAGUUUCGGCGGUUGGGGAUGGACUCGCGGCUUAUCAGCUUGUUGGUGGGGUAGUGGCUUACCAAGGCUUUGACGGGUAGCCGGCCUGAGAGGGUGACCGGCCACAUUGGGACUGGGAUACGGCCCAGACUCCUACGGGAGGCAGCAGUGGGGAAUAUUGCACAAUGGGCGGAAGCCUGAUGCAGCAACGCCGCGUGCGGGAUGACGGCCUUCGGGUUGUAUACCGCUUUCGCCUGUGACGAAGCGUGAGUGACGGUAAUGGGUAAAGAAGCACCGGCUAACUACGUG
rnacentral:rRNA from 1 species